GAUGAACGCUAGCGGGAGGCCUAACACAUGCAAGCCGAGCGGUAUAGAAUCUUCGGAUUUUAGAGAGCGGCGUACGGGUGCGGAACACGUGUGCAACCUACCUUUAUCUGGAGGAUAGCCUUUCGAAAGGAGAUUAAUACUCCAUAAUAUAUUGAUUGGCAUCAAUUAAUAUUGAAAGCUCCGGCGGAUAGAGAUGGGCACGCGCAAGAUUAGUUAGUUGGUGAGGUAACGGCUCACCAAGACGAUGAUCUUUAGGGGGCCUGAGAGGGUGAUCCCCCACACUGGUACUGAGACACGGACCAGACUCCUACGGAAGGCAGCAGUGAGGAAUAUUGGACAAUGGGUGCAAGCCUGAUCCAGCCAUCCCGCGUGAAGGACGACUGCCCUAUGGGUUGUAAACUCUUUUGUAUAGGGAUAAACCCUCUCCUCGUGAGGAGAGCUGAAAGGUACUAUACGAAUAAGCCACCGGCUAACUCCGUGCCAGCA
rnacentral:rRNA from 1 species